CUCAACGAUGGUUCAAUGAACCUGGUAAGUUUUGUUAUCUCUAACAAUAAAUGCCUGUUUCCUUUUCAAAUCGAGCAGAGUUCUCUGUAACCCAUGUUUUCCUUUCGUCUAUUAUUUAUCAUCUUGGUCUUUUUGAAUUUUCCAAAUUCCUACUAAUGAGACCUUACAGUGUCCUUGUAAAGUAUCUCUCCCACCCUCCCCCGCCACAAACGGCGGGUAUAAGUUCCAAGCGCCACCACCAGAAAGACUGAGCAUGUCUACCGAGCCCGUAGUAGGGAUCAGUGCCUUCUGCUUUAGUCUCUGGUCUGGUGGAGUGUCGCAAUGUGCAUUGGUAAGUUUAGUCCCAUGAACGUGCACCUUUUCCUUUGGCUUCUUCGUUAGUAUGUGAGAGCGUUGCCACCUUUUCUUUGCAGGACAUAAAAGCAGUUUGUUGCGAAUGAAGCGCGUCGUGGUGAUGAAACUGGCAAACGUGGUUUUCAAACCGGCCAACGAUCAAAACCUAAGGCGGAGAAUCUGAAAAGUGUGUGUCAUGUCCAGCAGAUUGCUGUCUUUCGAUGAAGACUACGUGUUGCAUUUCCAGGUGUGUUUGUGUGGCGAGAGGGAAUCGAUAUCAUCUUGUCCUUGACGAUCUGGUGUUACACUUUGAACUCGUUGGCCGGUGCAGUUCCACAUAAACAAGAUGCAUUGAUUACUGCUGCUGCAUUUUAUGAAUCAUUUAAGGCCUUCACUUCCAUGAUCAGUUUAAGGAUUCGGUCCGACAAAGCCGAACUAGCACGCAAUGCCUGAGUCGCCAUCAUGUUCUUCAUCUUUUCCUCCAUU